UGGCUAGGGCAGCUUGGGAGAUGUAUAUUCCAAAAAUACCUUUUUGUAUGAACUUUUAUUGGGUCACGCCUUGAAGAAACCAGCAUCACCAAAAUUAUUGCAGCAGUCAUUUUACGAGCUCCUUGUGGACUAGUGUCAUGGCUGUACAAAAACUAAUACCUUUGCCAGAAGGCUUCACAUGUUGUUCCAGUAUUGUCUCUCUCUCUCACACGCACCAUGUGCACACAGAAACAGGGCCAAUGGUUCUUGUGGCACUUCAGAGGCCUCUUCAUGGUGAUAUGUAAAGGUUUUGCAGACUGCAGAUUCCUGCAUAAGAUCCAGGACGUGUUAUCUUUUUGUGGGCAGCUUCUUACAUCUGCUGAUUGAAGAUAAUGCGUUGUGCAUCUGAUGAAGAAUACUGGUUUUCUUUAUUUUUGUUAGUCUGCAGCAACUUCUUCCUGUGUCAUCUUAAAAGACUAAUAUGUAAUUCUUUCUGGAAGUAGUUUUUACAUAGUGGUUUCAGCAUGUAUCUUAAGUUAGUCUCUCUCAUAUUCUUGUAUAUUCUGUGCCUGGGCCACUGCUUAACUUUGAGAUAGACUUCUGCUAAUAGGAUACAUUUUCAGGGUGUGGGGGUGUCUGUUAUGGUGUAGACUCUUUGUAUUUACUCAGUCUUAUAAAUGAUGUUUUGGUCAAUGAGAGAUCUUUGCAAAAGAUUUCCCCCCUUUCCUCUUAGGUAACAAGUAAAAAAUAUACAGGCAUGUGGUCUAUUAAGUACUUUUAGAUUAUUAACUUUGAAACCUUUUGGCAAGGCUGCCAUCAAGUAAGUAUAGAGGGAAAUCUUGUAUCAGAAAGAGAAAUUAUUACAAAUGCCAACUUGAUGAAGAAAAUCUCAGAACACUUUGUGUCUUUUCCUAGCUUUUCAUUGUCUGGGUUCACACAACAUAAUAAGGUGUAGUAUUGUGUAAGCCAGAGUUCUAGGGGAGGCUUGCCAUUUGUCUGAAUCCAAACAGAAUGGUUAACAAACCAAGCUGUGUGGUACAGAAAACAUGAUAAACCAUACCUGCUUAUAGGCUGUCAUGGGUAUCACACAGGGUGAACUGUACUGUAUAUUAGCUGUCUGGUUUGUCAGCUAUACACAAGCCACUCUGGCUGGGUUCAGAUAAUGCAGCAAGCCAUCCCUGCCUUAUAAGCUGUAUGAACCCAGUCUCUAACUUGCCAAGGGGUGAGAAGAAGGCAGGGGGAAUGGUCUUCUUUCAACAGCAGUAAGAGAACUUUUGUCACUAUCAAUAUAGAGCAGUUUGUCUCAGUUACUAUAUAGGGGGAAGAUAAUAUGCUCAUGUUCAGUUGCAGCAGUUAUCUUAGAACUGAUUGGGUGGGAGAAAUCAUUCAUUCAUUAUAUUAUUGUACUCUAGCCAGAAAGGCUGUCUGGGCAGUUUACAGAGUUAAAAUUCAUUCUGCAUUCUGGUGAGGAGGUGCUUGCAAAACCCAGGGUCAUACUAGUAUACACGAGUGCAUGGCUCAGUUCCCAUCAGCCCACUGUUGCAUAGUUGUACUUUUUCAUCCUAGUCCAAGUUUCCGUAUGGAUGAACUGAACAUGGUUGAACUGCCUGUUGAAGAGCCAGGGAGUACUAGCUUCACUUUUAUAGCCAUACGUGGUCAGUAACCAUGGCUUUUCACUUAGUAAUAGAACUGGGUGUUGAUGGAGACUGUUUUGGUUCAGUUAAAAGGGGCCAGUUAGCUCUUCAAGUCUGCACUUGCCAGAGGACGAAUGGAGAUGUGAGAGUGAUAGCCCUGUCAAGUUUGAGCAGAGAAGCAUCCAACUUUCACGGGUUUAACUUUUGCAGAUUUGAUCAUUUGCGAGUUUGCCACCAGUAAUUAAAUGGAGUCCUGUACCCCUAAGCCCCACAAAUGUGGAGGUUUGAGUGUAAUAUGUAUAUUGUAAAGACUGCAAUACUUUCACCUUAACACUUGUUACCUAUGCUUUGAACUUUAAGGGGAAAUACCCCUAGGUCGCAGGUUUCUCAAAAAAUGGGAUGGAGCCUCUGCUUGAGAGGUGUCAAAUCAUAGUCUGCUGAUCUGGAUGUCACGGCACUUGACACUUUAGUUACCAGAUCAACCAGUAAUGAAGCAGUUGUGACACCUCCUAGAGAGCAUUAAACAGCUGCUCAUCAUCAUGUUUUCAGGCUUCGUCAUUUUGCCUCUCAUGACAUAGAUCAGCAGACACUUCCUCAUGCAUAGUUCAUCUUAAUUAAGUAACAUGUAUGGUUGGCUUCUUUAAAACAUUGAUUGAAAUAAUGUUUGCCCUAUUUUUCAGCUAAAAAACUUGCCAGAACAGUGUACCUAUAAUUAUAAACAAGAUAGUCCUUUUCCACAAGCACACAAUCUUGCCAAUAUCUGUAGUUUCUCUUUCCUGAGUAUUCUUGCUCAUGUGGGUGGUUCAAGGAAGGAGCUGACUCAGCAUUAUGUUUAUUCCAGGCCCUUGCCAUACAUGGAAACAAAGCUGACGGUCCCAAAUCCGAGUACCAUGACACGAGUUGCUUCUUUGCAAGUUCCAGAAAAUUGGGUAGCAGCUUUAUACAAGAACUUACUCCAAUGAGGCCUCUGUUACAUGUUCACCCAAAGCAAUGACAAAUAGAAUUGGAGCUGAGAAGAAAUAGCUUGUAAAGAUGCCUGUGACAUCAAAAGGCCUAAGAAGGAAGAGGAUGUUGCACUUGUGAAACUGGACUCAAGAAGAGAGCCAGCCUUGGACGUAAGAGACACAGGAGAGCUGAGUAGGGGCUGCUGCACACAGCAUGUUGAAGCAGUUGACAAAAUUGUACCAAAGAGCAACUGAGACAGUGGGUCUCAAUCAUGGUUAGUAAUUGGUGGGGUGCAGGUGUCAUACGAUGUGUGUCAUCUGUGUUGCAUACUUACCAGAAAAAUGGCAUCAGCUUCUUGGAUGUCAUGCUCGUAGCUUGGGAGGAAAGCAUAGCUGCACCAUGAGUUGACAGGCCAAACACUUAAGUCAGAGCUCUUGCAUGCCAUUUGGUAGGGAUGUAAAAGAGGGCCUCCUUGGUGACAUUGCUGGGUUCAGAAACUCUCUACCUAGAAAUGCUGGGUUGGCUCCUUUUGUGUUGUCUUGCAGACAGGAAAUAUGACAUCUUUAUUCAGGGAGGUUUUUAGCAUUUAAGCUUGCCUGCUGCUUAUUUUUUUUUGCGUUUAAUCAUUUUUAAUUUAUUUCUUUUUAAGCUGAAAAUGUGAGUUUCUUUUAAUUCAGUGUGUGUUAGCUGCCUUGACUCCCAUAAUUUAGCAGAAAGGAGGGAUAUAAAUUGAAUAAAAUGAGGCAAAUGGCGAGUGCUAGUAAAUUUAUGGUAGUGCUGCUGGGCAUAGGACAGUGGUGUCCUAAAAGACUUCAGUUAUGAAAAUGAUAAAGAUCAAGACAUCAAAAAGUUACUUGGUUUGGCUGUAAACAAGCUUGGUAGUAUAGGGUAACUGGCCAGUAUGGUCUUUGAACUGCUUAUCCAACGUCAGAAGACUCCUUCCUGUUGCAGCCUGCAACCUUCCUGUCAUCUCCAAAGCCCAGCAAUUUCAAGGCUAAAUCCUUCAUAUGGUGAUUGUCUUUUGAUGUCUUUGUUGAGAGAGUCAGCUGUUACUUUUUUGUGGGGGAAGGGUUUUGUUCUGCUUGAAUUCUUGAACAGUCAGGGUCUGCACUAGAGACCCUUUGUUCUAACUGGCAUCUCAGUAGGUGUGAGAUUUGGAAAGCAAGGAGGAAAGGAAAAUAGGUACAGCUGCAUUUUUCUUUUCCUCUUCUAAUUUGCACAUUGUCACCAUACUUAGCUGAAGUGGGAUGUAUAGCUAUGAUUUCAGGCAAGGGAGUUGUUAAGUCUGUAAAAUUUCCAAGGGAGCUCAGUUGUUUGGCCUUUGUUUGGCGAUUAAUUCUAGGUUGUGUUUAAUACAUUAGGUGUUCAUUUAUUGGUGAAAUGCCUAGCCACUGCACUUACUUAGGAUACUAACUUGUAAAAAAUGGCAUCAAUCAAAUUGACAGAUAAUCACUUUUAGCAGUUUCAUUUUCUGGAAAUAUAUUGAACAACUUUGCUCACAUGUGUGCUGCCCUAUUACAUGUGUAGCCUUAAGCAUUUGUAGCCUCUUCUCCUUGCAUGCUUAACUCUCUCCCAUUUUGUGGCAAACAUUAAUUUGCUAGUAUAGCCAAACCAGUAAAAUGAUCCUGUUUCAUGGGCCAGAAACACAAACCAUGUGUUGGUCAUAGACAAGGAAGCCUGAGAGUCCAGCACUCUCUUGUAAUAUCAAACAUGGUAGGCCAGCACUGUAUGAAUCAGCUCCCAGGUGCAUUCAGUUACAAAUUUUUGAGCUGUGGUUGAACAUGCUGUCAAUAAACAAGAUACAGUUUUUGCCCCUCGAUAGUGUAACUGCUGGAAAAAGUUGCUGAGCCUUUGCAAAUUCAAGUAGUGGGAAGAAAAAUCAGUAGAACUGAGUAUGGUGCAGUGUGUAUCAAGGUGGGACAGCCGCAGAGUGAGAUACUCCUUUAGCUAAGAGGCAAGGUCCUGGCAAGCAGCUACAUCCACUAGUUUUGUUUGCACAUUCCUCAGCUGCAACCAGUUCCCUUCUUCAGCUGUUGGUUCACCACUCUCCUCUCUCCAGAGUGCUAUCUUAAGGAAAGGAAAACCAGACCGAUCUGGUCUGUUUUCCCUAUUCCAGACUCUAAAAGUGUUGUUUGAAUUUUGCAGGGUGGAGGGAGGUAGACAAUUAGGUGACACUACAGAGUUUAAGGAUAGGAUGACAGUGUCCCCUCCCAAGUUAUUAAUAAGGCCAGACUGCAAACGAUCAGUUCAGGCUUCUAAAUAUAGUGCAAACCUGAUUUUGCUGUCCCUAGUCCUAUUUGAAGUGGCAUAUUUCACAACAUAGUUUCACCCUCCUCACUUCUAUGUCUAAGGAAAGUUAGCUGAUGCCACGUGGGCUUGUGCAAAGGUGUAGUUAGUUCAUGUUCUAGACUUCUAUAUACAUUCAUCGUUGCUUUUCCGUCAGAUAUAUCUGUCUUGCAGUGAUUUUUCAGGUGUUUCCACACGCUCCACUCCUGUUCCUGCUGCCAUAACAGGAGUCUGUAAAAGCAAGACCUGGCAGGAAGCUCCUGCUAUUGCUUGCUGGUGCCCUUUCCUUCUGAAAGCCUGCAGUAGUCAUGCCAUGUUCGGGAUUUUUGUGCAUAGCAAUGGCCCACACAGUAUGCAAAGCAGAGGCUGUCAGGGACGAGUAGGGGAGGAGAGCAGGGCCAUUGGCCACAGCAUGCUGGCCACUCCCACUUUUCCAUUAACUCAGAAUCAGUUCCUUCAUGGAUUGCUUAAUGUGCUGUUUGAACCGAGCAAUGAUUUCAACAAAAAACCAUGAUUAACCACUGGAUUGUUUUGUCCCUAAAUCCAGGUUCCGGUAUCAUGCUUGGCAACUUACAGAGGAGUCAUUUGUGGGUUGUUGACUAAAAGUAGAAAGAGUGGGCAUGCAGGAAGGAGCACACUCACUAUCUUCCCCUCAUGCAUGGCAACCGAAAGUUCAUUUAAACCUUGAGUUGCCCUUAUGUAAAAAAAACCAGGUUUUCACGUUAUCCCUCGCUGGAGGGACCUGGUCAAGCAAUUAGGCUGUUGGUAGCCACAGUGUGGAAAAGAGAAAAGGAUACGCAAUUUGCUGCAGGUGAAUUCACUGGGGAAUAGUUAUUACUUGUCCCUCUUUAAAUUCCCUGUUGUGUCACAAAUAGAGAUGUUGCCAUUUGUGCAACAUCUCAGGGUCAAAGGAGAUACUUUCACUGGUCUACAAAAAUACACAGUACCAUUUUUAGACAUAGAACUUCUGCUAACAUCAGCUUGCAGGGAGCAUUGGGAAAUUGAUGAACUCACUAACUGGAGAGCUAAUAAAGUUCCUCAAUAUCUACAAGCUAUGUAGACAUGCCCUUUCUGGUUCUAAUUUGCUUAUUUUUGUGUUUUUGUCAACAUUGCUGUAUUGUAUAUACUAGUAUUCCACUCAUUCUUAGUGUGUUUUUUAUGCAGCUAAAACAGCUGUAUCCAUACAACUCCAAGUAGGCUUGGAGGAACCUAAGAUGUGCAGAAAUAGAAAAGUGAGUGGGGAGGGGGCAGGAUCCUGGCAAGGUGAGGAGACUUGUUAUUUUUUUAAACGUAUAGCCCAUUUUAGGGCUCUCGAGGCUGUGACCCACUGGGGAUGGAGGAGAUCUGAAAGGUGCUAGUCCAAUACACAGAGUCCACAUGGGCUUCCUAAGCAGCCUGGAGGAAUGUUUUCCAUGGGGUCGUGAUGGGACGAUGACUUUGCGACUAAACAAACAAUAAAGCACUGAAUAACUGUAUAAAAGGUAUCUAACUGGUCCAGAGGCAUUACCUUCUCACGAAGGGGGAAAAUAUAAGGGUUUUUUCUGUUAAGAUAGGUUGUUUUGGUAAAAACUUUCCCUCCCCGCUACAUAGAAACAGCGCGAGUCAGAAGGGAUCUCCUGAGCCAUCUAGUCUGACCCCCGGCUCCAGCCGGCUCUGCUCAUGACAUGCCCACCUUUAUGAAAAGCAUCUGGCCUCCAAUAGAUUUGACCUGGAUUUUUUUUUCCUUUUUGGAUUUGCCUACUUCCUACCCCAUGUAUGUCUCUUGGGUUGCAACACUCGCUGGAAGUAGCUACAUGCUGAGUCUAAGCUUCUUAGCACUUUAGAUUGAAACUGACAAAUAUUCCUUGGCCACUGAAUGCCACUUAAGGAAGCCACAGGUGGAAAUAUAAAAAGACCAGCCUACUGGUUGGGAAUGAUGGGACUCAUGUCCCAGCACAUCGAACAGGCAAUGGUUAAACUAGGCUGAUCUUACUACUGGCUUUUCUGCCUGAGUAGCUGAAAAGCGUUUACUGUUUUAAUGUUGGAGUUCAAGGAAGUAGUUUUCCUUGUGUGGUAGUCAUUUAUAUGGAUCCCUGGUGAUCUAGAGUUGGCAAAAUUGCCAGUACUUUGUAAACCCUUCCCCAAUUAUGGAGGAGUUGUACAUUUUGCACAGAAAAAUAAUACAAACCUAAAAGUAGCAGAGAUUACCUGCUUUCUUAAGCCAAGUAGCAUUUCCCAGUAAUAGAAGUAACAGAAGUUAUAGAAAUGUCCUUUCUGAUCUUUUAGUACAAGAUCUUACCCAUCCUGUCCCCCAAAACAGCCAUGAGUGAUGGGAACUGUAGUCCAACAUCCACUGGAAGGCUACAGGGUUCACUUUCCUAUACAUCCUGAGCAGCCUAUGUAGAUGAUUGGCAAGAAACACUUUGUUCUGUAGCUACCUUAUUAAGGCAUUACUAUUUAAAACACGUAGUGUGAUUCUUUUAAUUGCUCAGGGUAUCAUUGUGUUAGGAUGGCAUCUUGCCUUGCUGAGAUAUGCAUUGUUCUUUCUACAAUUGAUGGUUGUAAUACAAACAAUAACAGUACCAAUACUGUAGAAGCAAAUAUUUGCUUUUGGCUUUCUUCCAAGGUGCUUUAAAGGGCUAUUCAGUAACUGGCUUUUCUGUGUUGUCUUGGAUACUUGACUUGUGCAUUGUAUUAUAGGCAAAUCUUUAACUGCAUGGUGCUGUGUGCUCUUUUACUCUGAAGGUGGUAGACUUUUGUUUACCAGAUUCACACAAUUCCUUCGAACUACCAACUGUGACUUGUCAUUUUUUCAUUACUUCCUGGCCUCCACACUCAUAGUGUGAGCUUAUCUUACCUGUCAACAGAAAUGUGGCUAUUAAUAUGUAGAUCCUAGCUGCAAAAUAAAACCAUUUUUCCCCAGGACCUGGAUCAGCAUGAACUUGCAUAUAUGGCCACAAGCAAGAAUGAAACUUGCUAAGUCACAUGUGGGAUUAGUUCUUGUGUCCAGUUCAUCCAGUACAAAAGUGCUAUUGCUGUUGUGCUAGUUAUAAUCAGGUCCUAAACUAUUGUCUGCAAUGUCUUCAGCGAAUAACUUAAGUUGCAUCAAACAUUAUUAGUAUAUUUAGCUCCCAACCUGCUCUAUCAUUGCAGAACAGGACAGGGAGGGAGAUAAGAUGUCCAUGGACUCAACAGGUUCUGCUAGGGCCAGGGUUUGCCAAAAGUUUGCCUUCCUCUGUUUGGUUCUAAUGAAAAGGUUUUGUCAUGACUACCUGCAUUUAUGGGAACACCAUGUAGUAAAUAAAGAGCUACAUUAGGCUUGAAUUUUUGAGGAGAAAGGAUGAUAAACUUAGCAGUGGAGUAAGGCUGUUUCUGUUGAGACAAAUCUGGCCUGGCUCUUGCUAGAGAGUAGGCCACCAAUGUGUCCUGCUUUCUGGACUACAAAGGAAUAACCUCUGUGAGCGUGUUCUUAGAGGCAUGUUCAGACAAAUGUCCUUUUGUACAUCUGUGUAGCAGCAUGACGAAUUAAACUAUUUUUAAUCAAGUAGUACAUAAUGACUUGCCACUACUUCCCAGCAUCCAGCAGUGUGCUCCCGCUAGUAUUCAUGUUGUGCUGGUGAAAACUACCCAACCCACAACAACCUUGUGCAAGUGUUGGCUUACACUCACACACAGCAGUUGUGCUAGUGCAACAUUAGAUGGUACCUCCUAUUCCAUUUUAUAGGAAGAGAACAUAUCCAAAGCCAGACAUAUGGGAAGUUUUCUUAGAUGAAACAUCAAUGUUUUUAAAAAUUGCAUUUCCACAUGCAAAUGCUUAAAAUAGUGAAAAUGUUCUCUCCUUCUCCCUUAGCUUCCUGUAACAAGAGGAAGAAGUGAGUGAGUAGUGGUGGGCUCAGAUACAGUAUUUAUUUCAUUUCUCCCAUCACAGGACAUGAGCAUCAAGAUGUGUGGUUUUAAAUGUUGGUAUUACUUGAUUAUAAUUAAAUUAUUUCACUCCUUCAACUAGAAAUAUAUAUAUUCACAGUCAGACAGUGACGUGAAUUUGAGCAGAGCAGGGCCAUAUGGCUUAUUCUUAAGCCAUUCUUGGACAGAACAAGUAAAUAGUUUUUGAUUUAUAUCCCACUUUUUUCCUUCCAAGAAAAGCAAAGCAGCUUACAUAAUGCUCCUUUUCCCCUCGAUUAUUAGACAAUAACUGUUGCCUUAAAGUUGCUUUUGAAUUAACGGACUUGAACGUGCUUCUCAAAUUCAAAGAUGUUCCCCUAAUUAGAAGUGGUAGCCCCAAGACUGGGAUUCAUGGAACUUCGAGCUCAUAAUGGGUGGGCAAUAUCCUAUUCAUUUCCACCCCUAACCAAUUAUUUUGCACUAGUGGAAGUGACCUCCACAGCCCAGCACUGGUGACAUUUAUAAGCAGGACAAAUUUCCAUGGAAAAUCAGUCACAUCAAGCACUAUUGGCCUAGCGCUAGUUCACUUAUGCUAGCACAUCAUCAUUUAUCUCAGCGACUGAGGCAUGCAGUACUUCCGGCUGUAAUGCAGAAGAUUCUGAACAUUAGUUGCUGAAGAACACCAUUGAGAGGCUUCUGCUUUCAUAUGGUAAUUCUGGGUUUCCCAAAGCUAAAUAGUUAGCUAAGCCACUCAAGUUUCAGGAUUGAGCAGCAUUUUUAUCAAAUUUUAGUGUUCAUGACAGUAACAAUGAAGUCGUUUUUU